rnacentral:misc_RNA from 2 species
AGCAGCCGCGGUAAUUCCAGCUCCAAUAGCGUAUAUUAAGGUUGUUGCAGUUAAAAGCUCGUAGUUGAAUUUCGGGAUCAAAGGAUCGGUCAUGCCUUGGUAUGUACUGGUUUUAUUGGUUCUCACCUUCUAAAGAACCAUAAUGUCAUUCAUUUGAUGUUAUGGGGAAUUAGGACUGUUACCUUGAAAAAAUUAGAGUGUUUAAAGCAAGCUAACGCUUGAAUACAUUAGCAUGGAAUAAUGAAAUAGGACGUUCGAUCCUAUUUUGUUGGUUUCUAGGAUUGACGUAAUGAUUAAUAGGGAUAGUUGGGGGCAUUAGUAUUCAAUUGUCAGAGGUGAAAUUCUUGGAUUUAUUGAAGACUAACUACUGCGAAAGCAUUUGCCAAGGAUGUUUUCAUUAAUCAAGAACGAAAGUUAGGGGAUCGAAGACGAUCAGAUACCGUCGUAGUCUUAACCAUAAACUAUGCCGACUAGGGAUCGGAUGAUGUUAAUUUUUUAAUGACUCAUUCGGCGCCUUACG